rnacentral:rRNA from 1 species
UGGUGGAGUGAUUUGUCUGGUUAAUUCCGAUAACGAACGAGACUCUGUCCUGCUAACUAGUUUGCGUGACUUUUGUUUCGCGCAAAAAUCUUCUUAGAGGGACUGGCGGCGUCUAGCCGCACGAGAUUGAGCUAUAACA